CAAUAGCGUAUAUUAAAGUUGUUGCGGUAAAAAAGCUCGUAGUUGGAUUUCUACCGAAGAUAGCCGGUCGGGUCUUCGACCUUGUAUCUGGUUUUGUCUUUGGUAUCCUCAUAGGGAACGUUUCUGCGCUUUAUUGCGUGGUGCGGUAUCUAUGACUUUUACUUUGAGGAAAUUAGAGUGUUCACGGCAGGCAAACGCCUUGAAUAUAUUAGCAUGGAAUAAUAACAUAGCAUCUUCGUCCUAUUUUGUUGGUUUCUAGGGCUAAGAUAAUGAUUAAUAGGGAUAAUUGGGGGCAUCUGUAUCAACGCGUCAGAGGUGGAAUUCUUGGAUUGCGUUGCGACAAACUACUGCGAAAGCAUUUGCCAAGGAUGUUUUCAUUGA
rnacentral:rRNA from 1 species